AUACGUAGGUGGCGAGCGUUGUUCGGAAUUACUGGGUGUAAAGGGCGUGUAGGCGGGGAUGUAAGUCAGAUGUGAAAUACCAUGGCUUAACUGUGGGGCUGCAUCUGAAACUAUGUUUCUUGAGUGCCGGAGAGGAAAGCGGAAUUCCCAGUGUAGCGGUGAAAUGCGUAGAGAUUGGGAGGAACACCAGUGGCGAAGGCGGCUUUCUGGACGGUAACUGACGCUGAGGCGCGAAAGCGUGGGGAGCAAACAGGAUUAGAUACCCUGGUAGUCCACGCCGUAAACGAUGGAUACUAGGUGUAGGAGGUAUCGACCCCUUCUGUGCCGGAGUUAACACAAUAAGUAUCCCACCUGGGGAGUACGGCCGCAAGGUUGAA
rnacentral:rRNA from 1 species